GAUGAAGAACGCAGCGAAAUGCGAUACGUAAUGUGAAUUGCAGAAUUCAGUGAAUCAUCGAAUCUUUGAACGCAUAUUGCGCUCUCUGGUAUUCCGGAGAGCAUGCUUGUUUGAGUAUCAGUAAACACCUCAACUUCCAUAUCUUUUUUGAAAUGGGAGUUGGACUUGAGUGAUCCCAACGCUUUUCCUCACCGAAAAGUGGCGGGUUACUUGAAAUGCAGGUGCAGCUGGACUUUUCUCUGAGCUAUAAGCAUAUCUAUUUAGUCUGCCUAAAAAACAGAUUAUUACCUUUGCUGCACCUAACAUAAAGGAGAUUAGUUCUUGUGCUGACUGAUGAAGGAUUCACAAAGACAGGCUUCGGCCGACUUUGUAAACUCGAUCUCAAAUCAAGUAAGACUACCCGCUGAACUUAAGCAUAUCAAUAAGCGGAGGA
rnacentral:misc_RNA from 1 species